CAAACAACCAGGAGCUGUUCAGGAGGAGCUGAUUCAUCACAAGCCAGACCUUGAGACAUCCUGCUCCUUAUCAACCCCGCAAGGCCAUCGGGAGAGGUGAGGCUGGAAACGAGCCCAGUGAAUUUAAUAAUUCACUCUGCAUUUGUGUGGCCAUCACUGAUGGAUGCUGAGGAGCUGCCAGAGACAGAAUCUGACUUCAGGGCAGGGCCAGAUCUUAAAAUAGGAGGAUGGGAAUAAAGGGUAACGUUUGUUUUCCCUUUUAUUUGCGUGCUGUAAAGGUUCACCUCCAGCCUGAGCUGUCAGUUGGGCACGAUGUGGUAACCCCAGCGUUCCAGGAAUCGUGCCUGAGGUGGCCCGUGGACCUGUGACCCCAAUCUGAGCUGACUUUAGCACACCUGUUUUUUUCUUGAGGAUUUUGCCGCUAUCCAAGCAUUUCUGGCAGCGUUUAUAAAGUGUCCAAAUGACUUCUGGUACGGUGGAGUCACCUCACAGGGUGUAAUACUUCAAUUCAGGAAAGAAAACAUUCCAAAUACAUCUACUUAAGCAUUCUUGUUCCAAGGGGAAGAAAGGAGAGAAUGUGAAGUGUGAAAACAAAACUCCCAGGCUCCUCUCAGACGAUGUUUUUUGCUCUUUCCACAUCCCAUUCUCCAGCCCAUCCCUUCCCAUUGUCCUUGGAGCAUCAUCAGCAGAGGGUUUGGGCCACAGGCUUGAUUCUCCUCCAGGAGCAUCCCUUGGGAAUGUCCAGCAGCCAGGUUUGGACAGCCAGGGCUUGGAAAGGGUGAGCUCGUGGGACUGAGCUGAGCCCUGGCUGGUGGCUGCUUCAAGGAGUGAAAGUCCUGUUGUGGUGGAGGCCAAGGAGAACAACUGGAGCUGCUCUUGGCCCCUGGAAUAACCAACAUCAGCUUUUCUCAUCCCAAGGAUUCCUGGUGACUCUGCAGCUGAGAGUGCCCUGAGGCUGUGACAUUGUUUUGUGACAUUGUUUGUCCAGGGCCUUUCCUAUUCCUGUCAGAAGUAGCUGGUGUUUUUUUGCUGCCUCCAGCAGGAAUAAUUCUGAUUUAAGGCCCUGGUCCUUUUUCAGGGUUCUUCAGGGAAAAGAUGAUUCUGGACCCAUUUCUAUCCAGCCACCAAUUUUUGCUCAGCUCGAUGCAAAUCCUUGGCUGGAGCUGCCAAGUAACGUCACCUCUGUCCCUUUGCCCCCUGUGCCUGGGGGACAGUAAAUCUGUAGGCAAACAUUAGGUCUUCCUGAAAAGCCUGGCAUUGCUGGGAGAAAAUCAAAAGCUGGAGGGUUUUUAUUAUCUCUCUCCUUAUUGUCUUUUCUUUUUAUUGCCUUUUGGAGUCACCCUGGAGAGCAAUCUCCAUCCCACAGCGUGGCCCUGCCAGACUUCCUCUGCUGUCACUGUGACCUAAGGAAUAGAGGCCAAGCCUUCCUCUGCUCCAAGUAUUAACAAACCCAGCUCCCUAAACUCCAGGGAUCCCUUUUUCUGUGUGUUCCAAAGCUCCAGUGGGACUCCCAGGGCUUUCUCAACCCUCCAAAACACGCCAUCACCCCAAACUCGAGUUUGGGAGUGGAAAGGUUUGGGUUCCCUGUCUGUGGUGGAAGUCUCUGAAAUCCUCUGCCAAUUCCUGACUGCCAGGGCGGUCUGCACGGGGGAGAGGCUCAGAAUCUGGCAGGAACCCCGAGAGAUGCUUCUUGCAGGAAAAAUAUGUGCUCUGCUCUCUCAUUAAGCACUUAUCUCCUGCUCCUGCUCUGAGGGAGGCCGGGGUUGGAGCGGAGGAGGCGCA
ensembl:lncRNA